UACGUAGGGGGCAAGCGUUGUCCGGAUUUACUGGGCGUAAAGAGCGUGUAGGCGGCCACGCAGGUCCGUUGUGAAAACUGGAGGCUCAACUUCCAGCCGUCGACGGAAACCGUGUGGCUAGAGUCCGGAAGAGGAGAGUGGAAUUCCUGGUGUAGCGGUGACAUGCGCAGAUAUCAGGAAGAACACCAAUGGCGAAGGCAGCUCUCUGGGACGGUACUGACGCUGAGACGCGAAAGCGUGGGGAGCGAACAGG
rnacentral:rRNA from 1 species